UUCAUGUAGUAGAGGUUCAAAAUGUCAGUAUUUUCUCCCAUUUCAUACCUACUGAACGAGACCCAGCAUAAAUAUGGCAUAUUGCUUUUUAUAUCAACCUCUUUCCCACUAGGAAGCUGUGGUGAUUCAGCUGGAGGAGGAGAGGCUAGUGAAGAUCAAGGAUGUGCUGAAGGAGUUACCAGUUCCCCAUUACAGUUCCUCAUGUGUCACCUUAUCAAGAUGGCUUCUUAUUCCUCACACACCAACAUGCAUGCCCGGAACCUCGCCAUUGUUUUGGCUCCAAACCUUCUCAAGUGCAUUUAUCUACAUGAGAGAGAAAGACAUUAACUAGAUAGAGAUAGUUAAAACAGUGUGUUUGCAUUGUUCAACGUUGUUUAACCCUCUGAGGCUGUUUGCAGGUCAAAAGAUAUUGAGGCGUCAGGGUUUAACAGUACAGCAGUCUUUAUGGAGAUGAGGGUCCAGUCCAUCAUGGUGAAAUUCAUCCUCACCCACGUGCCCCAGCUGUUUCCUGAUUCAGAUGCAUGGUAUUUUCCUCCCUAGUCUAUGUCUGCCAAAGACAAGGGUCAUGUUCAUUAGUGCACACUGUAGCAAAAAUAUGUGAAUGAUAAUAUGGUCAUAUCUGCCUUCCCUAGUAUGUCAUGGGCCCAAAUACUGAUCUGUCUUCAUCAUUGAGCUAGAAAUGGAGCAGUCUAGUGGGGGAAAAGGUGGCUAGAUAACUGCACUGAAGUACAAUGACACUCACAUAACAAGUUGUUAUGUGAAUAAUUUAUUAACUGGACUGUUAUUCUGUGUCCUGUCUCUAGAGUUGCUGGUGUGGGAGAAACAUGUGGUUCAACCAGCCACCAAACGUCCUGGAGCAGCAGGAAACCUGUUAGAUAUUUCGAUAUUGAUGAUGAUUGAAUCUUUUUACAUUUUUUAAAAUUAUUUUGUUUACCCCUUUUUCUCCCCAAUUGGUAGUUAGUCUUGUCCCAUUGCUGUAACUCCCGUAUGGACUCGGGAGAGGUGAAGGUCGAGAGCCGUGCAUCCUCCGAAACACAAUGCCCACUUAACCCAGAACCAAGCUGCACCAAUGUGUCGGAGGAAACACUACACCUGGCGACCGUGUCAGCAUGCAUGCGCCCGGCCCGCCACAGGAGUUGCUAGAGUGCAAUGGGACAAGGACGUCCUGGCCGGCCAUAUCCUUCCCUAAACCCGACGACGCUGGGCCAAUUGUGCGCCGCCCCAUGUGUCUCCCGGUCACGGCCGGCUGUGACAGGGCCUGGACUCGAACCAGGAUCUCUAGUGGCACAGCUAGCACUGCGAUGCAGUGUCUUAGACCACUGCACCACUCGGGAGGGCUGAUGAUGAUGAUUUUGAUGGAUAUUCCCUAGCCACACAAUGACAGGAUUAGUGUACUGUGAUUCGCCAACAGCACGAUCAUCUCGGCGUCCCAUGAGAGAACUGUCAAAAUAUGGGACACAAGCAUCAAGAAACAGUCUUGGAGGUGAACCUGCACUGCUCCAGUGAACUGGUGUGUGGCGAUGAACUGAGCCAGCUCUACUUCCUCUCUUGGAUAGAAAUACCACCCAGUGUACACACAGUCGUUGUAUACACACUGCUCCAUAACACAUUCAAUCAUAAUUAACUUAAUCUCACACAGAUAUAUCAGUACUACUAAGCCAGGAUUCAGACACGGCUAAGACAUCCGGGUUGGCAGAGUGUGCAAGAGCAGUGAAUAAAGCUAACUUAGGGAGGAGGCUUCUAAUGUUAACAUGCGGCAUGAAACCAAGGCUUUUACGGUUACAGAGGUCAACAAAUGAGAGCACCUGGGGAAUAGGAGUGGAGCUAGGCAC